GGGGAAUAUUGGGCAAUGGGCGAAAGCCUGACCCAGCAACGCCGCGUGAAGGAAGAAGGUCUUCGGAUUGUAAACUUCUUUGAUCAGGGACGAAUAAAUGACGGUACCUGAAGAACAAGCCACGGCUAACUACGUGCCAGCAGCCGCGGUAAUACGUAGGUGGCAAGCGUUAUCCGGAUUUACUGGGUGUAAAGGGCGUGUAGGCGGCUCUGCAAGCCAGAUGUGAAAUUCCCGGGCUUAACCCGGGCGCUGCAUCUGAAACUGCAGAACUUGAGUACUGGAGAGGAUAGUGGAAUUCCUAGUGUAGCGGUAAAAUGCGUAGAUAUUAGGAGGAACACCAGUGGCGAAGGCGGCUAUCUGGACAGUAACUGACGCUGAGGCGCGAAAGCGUGGGGAGCAAAC
rnacentral:rRNA from 1 species